rnacentral:rRNA from 1 species
AACGAACGCUGGCGGCGUGGAUAAGACAUGCAAGUCGAACGGAUUAGCUUGGUAGCAAUAUUGAGCUAAUUAGUGGCGAACGGGUGCGUAACACGUGGGUCACAUUCCGGGAAGUGGGGAAUAGCCCAGGGAAACUUGGAUUAAUGCCCCGUGUGGUCGCAAGACUAAAGGCGCAAGCCGCUUCCUGAUUGGCCCGCGGCCUAUCAGCUUGUUGGUGGGGUAAUGGCCCACCAAGGCUACGACGGGUAGCUGGUCUAAGAGGACGACCAGCCACACUGGAACUGAAACACGGACCAGACUCCUACGGGAGGCUG